rnacentral:rRNA from 1 species
UAGCGUAUAUUAAAGUUGUUGCGGUAAAAAAGCUCGUAGUUGGAUUUCUGUUGAGAACGACCGGUCCACACAACGUGUGCGCAUCUGGUUCGGUCUCGGCAUCCUACCGAAGGACUACUCUGCGCUUGAUUGCGUGGAUAGGACUCCGGUACUUUUACUUUGAGGAAAUUAGAGUGUUCACGGCAGGCUAUCGCCAGAAUACAUUAGCAUGGAAUAAUACUAUAGGAUCUUGAUCCUAUUUUGUUGGUUUCUAGGAUUAAGAUAAUGAUUAAUAGGGACAAUUGGGGGCAUUCGUAUCAACACGUC